UUUUUAUUGGCAUUGGCAUAUUUUAAGAUGACCCGAUUCUUAAGAAUAUUUUACCGGAAAAACAUAAAAUAAUUUACAGAGGAGCUAAAAAUCUUAAGAAUUCCCUAGUACAGAGUAGUGACAAAGGAACGACACCAGUGAAUAAUUUUUUUUAUUUUUUUUUUAAGUAUGAGCAAAGGUUUUUAUGGAUGUGGACAAUGCCUGGUUUGUAGAAAUACCAAAAAUAAAAAACUACAUAUAAUAGAUAUGGAACCUAUUAUAAAUCCAAAAUUUGAAAUUAAAGAUCACUUAACUUGCUAUUCCAAAG